UGAGUAACACGUGACUAACCUACCUCCGAGUGGGGAAUAACUCCGGGAAACCGGGGCUAAUACCGCAUAACAUCGCGAGAUCAAAGCAGCAAUGCGCUUGGAGAGGGGGUCGCGGCUGAUUAGCUAGUUGGCGGGGUAACGGCCCACCAAGGCGAAGAUCGGUAUCCGGCCUGAGAGGGCGCACGGACACACUGGAACUGAAACACGGUCCAGACUCCUACGGGAGGCAGCAGUGGGGAAUUUUGCGCAAUGGGGGAAACCCUGACGCAGCAACGCCGCGUGGAGGAUGAAGCCCUUUGGGGCGUAAACUCCUUUCGACCAAGACGAUAAUGACGGUACUGGUGGAAGAAGCACCGGCUAACUCUGUGCCAGCAGCCGCGGUAAUACAGAGGGUGCAAGCGUUGUUCGGAAUUAUUGGGCGUAAAGGGCGCGUAGGCGGUGCCACAAGUCACUUGUGAAAUCUCCGGGCUUAACUCGGAGUCCUGCAGGCGAAACUGUGGUGCUGGAGUGUGGGAAAGGUGCGUGGAAUCCCCGGUGUAGCGGUGAAAUGCGU
rnacentral:rRNA from 1 species